rnacentral:lncRNA from 1 species
UGUGCAGAGCACUGUACUAAGCGCCUGGAACGUACAAUCCGGCAACAGAUAGGGACAGUCCCUGCCCAAGGACGGGCUCACAGUCUAAUCGGGGGAGACGCGGACGGCGGAGCGAAACAGAACGAAACAAAAACAACAUUAGCACGAUAAAUAGAAUCAAGGGGAUGUACACCUCAUUCGUAGAAUAAAUAGGGUAAUAAAUAAUAUACACAAAUGAGCACGGUGCGGAGGGGAGGGAGGCGGGGAGGAGCAGAGGGAAAGGCUGUGUGACCCUGGGCAACUCAUAUAGCGGCCCCAUAUUUGAUAGGGAGGUGGUGCCUGCUCUGAUUUUACUGAUUUGACCACAGUGCUUGGCACAGAGUAAUCACUUACCGCAAUUAUUAUUAGAGGAGAGCUGUGAUGGUAAAACUAAGAUUAGGCCCUAUUCCCAGAAGAAGGAAGUUGUCCACGGCAUCAGAGGUAACUGAAAAGUCAAGGAUUAGGCGAGAGUUCCAUAGAUUUGGCGCUUAGCACACAGAGUAAUCCUUAUCAAAUGUGAUAAUAAUAAUAAUGAUGAUUAUUAUUAGUACUACCAAUAACGAGGGCAUCGGUAACCUCGAGAAUGUCAAUCUCAGGGAACUAAGAGGGUGGUGACCAGAUGGUAGGGGGUCAGAAACGGAGCUUGAGGAACGGAAGUGGCAGAAGGGGGUGUGUACAAUCUGUCCAAGGAGUUUGGACAAGAAGGAGAGUAGGUUUUUUAUUUGGUUUUUGUUCUUUUCUUGGGACAGAGAAGCCUGGAAUCCUCCGAAGGCAAAAAAGGACGGAGAGCGGAGAGGAGGUGAAGGAAACAGCGUGGCCUAAUGGAAAGAGCCUGGACCUGGGAGUCUGAAGAUCAUGGGUUCGAACCCCAGCUCUGCCACUUGCAUCUGCCACAGCUGCGUGACCCUGGGUAAAUCACUAUACUUCUCUGUGCCUCGAUCACCUUAUCUGUAAUGACGAUAAUAAUAGCGUCGGUAUUAGUCAAGCGCUUACUAUGUGCAGAGCACUGCUCUAAGCGCUAGGAUUGAUACAGGGUAAUGAGAUUGUCCCACGUGAGGCUCACGGUCUUCAUCCCCAUUUUACAGAUGAGGGAAAUGAGGCCCAGAGAGGUGAAGUGACUCGCCCACAGUCACACAGCUGCCAAGGGGCAGAGCCGGGAUCCGAAGCCACGACCUCCGACCCGCAAGCCCGGGCUCCUUCCACUGAGCCGCGCCGCUUCUCUAAAAUAGGGAUCGAGACUGGGAGGCCCACGCGGAACGGGGACCGUGUCCAACCCUAUCUGCUUGGACGGUGCCCGGCACAAAGUAAGUGUUCAACAGAUACCACGGUUAUUAAUUAUUAUACGGAGAGAUUUUCUGGCCCCGGAGAUGUCCCUGCGUCUCCUGGAGCUGGCUCCUAAGGAGGAGGGCUCCUUAGAAUAGAAGCUGGGGGCCGAGGAGCCUUGAAAGUAGUCUCCGGCUUUGUCGGUACGAUAAGAAUGGAAGAAUACGUUAGGCACAAACCGUGUGACAAUCACCGAACUAAGCUCUGGGGUAAACACAACACAGUCAUCUUCCCUCCCAAGCCCGGUCCUCUCCC